UACGUAGGGGGCAAGCGUUGUCCGAAUUUAUUGGGCGUAAAGAGCGUGUAGGCGGCCAGACAGGUCCGUUGUGAAAACUAGAGGCUUAACCUCUAGACGUCGAUGGAAACCGUCUGGCUAGAGUCCGGAAGAGGAGAGUGGAAUUCCUGGUGUAGCGGUGAAAUGCGCAGAUAUCGUAAGGAAGACCAGUGGCGAAGGCGGGUCUCUGGACAGUUCCUGACGCUGAGGCACGAAGGUCAGGGGAGCAAACGGG
rnacentral:rRNA from 1 species